UACGUAGGAGGCAAGCGUUGUCCGGAACUCUGGGCGUAAAGCGCGUGUAGGUGGUGGGACAAGUCUGCUGUGAAAGCGCCUGGCUUAACCGGGCGAGGUCGGCGGAAACUGUUCGACUCGAGGACGGUAGAGGGGGGUGGAAUUCCCGGUGUAGUGGUGAAAUGCGUAGAGAUCGGGAGGAACACCUGUGGCGAAGGCGGCCCCCUGGGCCGGCCCUGACACUGAGACGCGAAGGCGUGGGGAGCGAACGGG
rnacentral:rRNA from 1 species